rnacentral:rRNA from 1 species
AAAGAAACUAACAAGGAUUCCCCUAGUAACGGCGAGUGAAGAGGGAAGAGCCCAAGAUUGAAAGCUGGCGUCUUCGGCGUCCGCAUUGUAAUCUCAAGAAGUGUUUUCCGCUUCGGACCAUGCCUAAGUCCCUUGGAAAAGGGUAUCAUAGAGGGUGAUAAUCCCGUACAUGGCAUGGAGCGCCCGAAGCUUUGUGAUACGCUUUCUACGAGUCGAGUUGUUUGGGAAUGCAGCUCAAAAUGGGUGGUAAAUGCCAUCUAAGGCUAAAUAUUGGGGAGAGACCGAUAGCGAACAAGUACAGUGAUGGAAAGAUGAAAAGAACUUUGAAAAGAGAGUUAAACAGUACGUGAAAUUGCCAAAAGGGAAGGGUAGGAGGUCAGAGAUGCGUCUUGGGAUUCAGCCUUGCUUUUGCAUGGUGUUUUUCCCAAGCUGCAGGCCAACGUCGGUUUUGGGCACUGGAGAAGGGUAGGAGGAACGUGGCACCUCUCGGGGUGUGUUAUAGCCUCCUACUGGAUACAGCGACCGAGACCGAGGAACGCAGCGUACUCGUAAGAGCGGGCCUUUUGGCACCUUUACGCUUAGG